rnacentral:lncRNA from 1 species
UUGUCUCAAAAAUAAUUUUUGUAUAUGAAUAUUUACCAAAACUAUUGUGUAUAUUACAUAAAAUGUAGAAUAGUAGAUAAUUACAAAAAAUUGGAUUGGUCAAAACAAAAGUGACCACUAAUAUUUAAGGGUGAGGAUCACACUCUCUUUUAACCACAGCCCUUGAUUAAACUAAAUCUAAUGGACCAAAAUGAACAAGGUGAAAAGUUGUGUUCUUAAACUCUCUCUCCUGUUACCUAUGGUAUCCUAUUCUUCUCUUCCAUUUUAUCUAUCUCUCAUCUUUUUCCCAUGCCUUAACACAAAGUUUGUCUCAACCACCAUCUAUCUCAACCCGGCCUUAACGCUCUCUCCUCUCUUCUCUCACCUCUGUUUCUUCAACUCAAAGUCUGUCUCCUCUCUCUCAACAGUCUGCUGGCCAGAUGCCGAGUGACAAGACUUUUGGCGGCGAAGGAGACAGGAGAAACUUCUUGGCGGAGGAGGCGCGACAGGCAGAUCGAACAGUGGCUCCAUCACCAGAUUGAGUCCUCGCUUUAACCAUAGCACCCAGAGCGGGUGAAGGUGUCGGUGUAGAAGCUAAUGGAGGUGUCGGAGGAGGAGGACGACGGCGGUAAAUUUAGGUUUCCUUAGGUUUUUUUUUGUCGUUUUCUUUUGUAUUUUAUGUGUAUUUGUGUAUAUAUAUUUGUGUUUUUGUGUAUUUAUAUAUGGUUCUAUAAAUAAAUAUUGAAAUCAGUUUAUAAAACCUAAUUAAUUUCUGUUGCACAAAAAGAAGAAACCUAAUUAAUUUAUACAUCGUAUAAUCUUAUAAACCGAAUUCAUUAAAU